rnacentral:rRNA from 1 species
ACGACGCUGGCGGCGUGCCUAACACAUGCAAGUCGAGCGAGGAGAUUCCUUCGGGAUGAUCCUAGCGGCGGACGGGUGAGUAACACGUGGGCAACCUGCCUCAUAGAGAGGAAUAGCCUUCCGAAAGGGAGAUUAAUACCUCAUAACAUUGCAGUUUCGCAUGGAACAGCAAUUAAAGGAGUAAUCCGCUAUGAGAUGGGCCCGCGGCGCAUUAGCUAGUUGGUGAGGUAACGGCUCACCAAGGCGACGAUGCGUAGCCGACCUGAGAGGGUGAUCGGCCACAUUGGGACUGAGACACGGCCCAGACUCCUACGGGAGGCAGCAGUGGGGAAUAUUGCACAAUGGGGGAAACCCUGAUGCCAGCAACGCCGCGUGAGUGAUGACGGCCUUCGGGUUGUAAAGCUCUGUCUUCAGGGACGAUAAUGACGGUACCUGAGGAGGAAGCCACGGCUAACUACGUGCCAGCCGCGGC